UAUGCUUCUUCGGGAGCAGAGACCGGCGCACGGGUGCGUAACGCGUAUGCAAUCUACCUUUCACAGAGGGAUAGCCCAGAGAAAUUUGGAUUAAUACCUCAUAGUAUAUAUGAAUGGCAUCAUUUAUAUAUUAAAGUCACAACGGUGAAAGAUGAGCAUGCGUCCCAUUAGCUAGUUGGUAAGGUAACGGCUUACCAAGGCAACGAUGGGUAGGGGUCCUGAGAGGGAGAUCCCCCACACUGGUACUGAGACACGGACCAGACUCCUACGGGAGGCAGCAGUGAGGAAUAUUGGACAAUGGGCGCAAGCCUGAUCCAGCCAUGCCGCGUGCAGGAUGACGGUCCUAUGGAUUGUAAACUGCUUUUAUACGAGAAGAAACACUCCGACGUGUCGGAGCUUGACGGUAUCGUAAGAAUAAGGAUCGGCUAACUCCGUGCCAGCAGCCGCGGUAAUACGGAGGAUCCAAGCGUUAUCCGGAAUCAUUGGGUUUAAAGGGUCCGUAGGCGGUCAGGUAAGUCAGUGGUGAAAGCCCAUCGCUCAACGGUGGAACGGCCAUUGAUACUGUCUGACUUGAAUUAUUAGGAAGUAACUAGAAUAUGUAGUGUAGCGGUGAAAUGCUUAGAGAUUACAUGGAAUACCAAUUGCGAAGGCAGGUUACUACUAAUGGAUUGACGCUGAUGGACG
rnacentral:rRNA from 3 species